GGGGGCGCUCUGGUUUCGACUGAUAAUGUGAAACCUGGGUCGCAUGUCGAGGAUGAUUUGCUGGCCUCGUAAAAAAGCGGAUCAAAAACCAUAUAAAUGCCGAUUCUAACGAAUUAGCUCUCGCCGCUUAAGGCGACGUCUCGCCCCUGACGCCUGUUAGGGGGACGAGGCGACGACAACAGGCUAGUCCCUUGCCGGGGUGUCCGCGGUGAAGGCCGAAAAUAAACAGGGCAACCGGGGAUGAACGACCUUGUCGGAUGCGGUCGCCAUCUCCAGUAAGAGCACCGAAUAAGCAUGUAGACGCCUAGGCGGAAGGUUAACAGGACAGGGGUUCGACUCCCCUCGCCUCCACUU
rnacentral:tmRNA from 1 species